CCAUGUUGGUCAGGUUGGUCUCAAACUCCUGACUUCAGGUGUUCCACCCACCUGGGCCUCCCAAAGUGCUGGGAUUACAGGCAUGAGGCCCAGCACCUGGCCAAUUGUGUUUGUGUUUUAAGGUAAGUAUUACUACGAAAGAGUCAAAAAGCCAAAAAUUUAAAAGCAUAUAAAUUUAGAGCAAGCUGAAGUUCAUUUGUUAUUGAAGAAAAAAUAUUUUUUUAGGGCUGGGCACAGAGGAUUGCUUGAGCCCAGGAGUUCAAGGCCAGCCUGGGCAACGGAGUGAAACCCUGUCUCAACAAAAUUUACUCAAGUGUGGUGGCAGACUCCUGUAAGUCUCCAGGGCUGAGCUGGAGGUAGGAGCUCAAGAGGUUGAGGCUGCAGUGAGCUGUGAUUGUGCCACUGCACUCCAGCCUGAGCAACAGUGAGAAAAAACACAUGAUUAUUUUUUUUAGUAAGUUUGUGUAGCUAAGUGUUCAUAAAGUCUACAGCAUUGUACAGUAGUAUCCCAGGCUUUCAUAUCUAUUGUCUCACCCAGAGCAACUUCAGUCCUGUAAGCAAAUCAUGGUGACUGCCCUAUAUAGUAUAGUUUACUAGUUAUGUUGUCUUUUACUAUACCUUUUCUGUGCUUAGCUAUGUUUAAAAACACAAAUAUUUACCAUUGUGCUAAUCAUUGCCUGGGGUAUUCAGUACAGAAACAUACUGUACAGGUUUGUAACGUAAGAGCAAUAGGCUAUGCCAUGUAGCCUAGAUAUGUAGUAGGUUGUACUGUCUAGGUCUGUGCGAAUACACUCUAGGAUUUCACACCAUCAUGUAUUUUUUGGAAUGUAUUUCUGUGGUUUAGCAACACAUGACUGUAUGGUAAACCUGAAGUCUUUAGUGACUUCCUUCAUUUAGGUUUUUCUUGUCAUUUCUAGCUGCAAAAUGUUUAUCUUGAACUCAUUAGUCUUUGGUUUGUCUAAUGUGACCUUUUCUAAACAUUGAGAAAGAACUUAGCAUUGACUUUAAUUUACACUCAAAAAUACGCUAGCUUUUUUUUAGUUUUUUCUGUUUUAUAAAGUUACUGUA